AGAUUUCUGUCCAGCUGGCCAGGGAGCCCGGAAUGGCUUCCCUCAAAGAGCUCCUAGGAGGUGUCAAGACUACAUCUUCAGUUCCCUGCAAGCCCAAUAUUUCCUUACGUUUCCUGGGAGAAAAAGAGGUCUCAAUCUUCCUGUUCUUCAUCGUCAUGAGCAGAAGGGUGGGAAGUCCAGCUGGGAGGCUGCAGUGGACCCAGGCUAUAACCCAUGCUCUUCUGCACUGCAGUGGAUGCCUCCUGUGUCCCUGCUGGAUCCUCCUCAACUGUGAACUGAGCCUAGGCAGCCUAAGGAGAGAGUUUGCUCUCUAGUCUUAGAGGGACCAAGGUCUGCCAAUGAGAACAGGAAGAGCAUACAUUCAUGGGGAGAAGAUGUCAGUGGGCAAUGUUGUCAUCCCUCCCUCUUCAUGGACUUCUCGAAUUUAUCAGAGUUCCUCCGGAGCCAGGAAGUAGAGCACACCCUGGAUUAUUACACCUAAAUAUUUAGUAACAUUUUCCUGACCCACCUCUUUGGUAAAUAUACUUGUGCUCUUAUGAAC